GACUCUACUUUAAAUGCAGGAAGAACGCUGGCCUAUUCUGUGUCACAAAAGAUAGAGCUUCAGCUACCCCCACGCAAGAUCGAGAAAGACAGAAGAAGAAAGCUAAAACCAAGUACCAACCCAAACGCUCCCAAUCCACUUUUCUUCCCGUUCAUCUCUUCCACCUGCAGUCUGCACAAGACCUCAAAGCAAAAUAGGAGAAUGAAAUCCAUCGUAAACCUUCACAGCUCCUCUGGCAUUCCUCUCUGUGUCUUAGGGAUCACGCACCGUCUCACUUUUCCUGUGGAGAUAGCGGAUCAUGAUCGCAGAAGGGAAGCCAUGAAAAAGCAAAGAUCUCGAAGAAGAGAGACUUAUUCCGCCCCAAACCAAGACAUGGGUAGUGGGAGAAGAAUCCAAGGAAACUUCAAGGGGAUCAAAGAAGGUGGAGCACUUGACCAAGAUCUGGCCGGAGAUCUGGAUGAGUGGUAUUUUAGCUUAAUGGGUUAUACAGCCAAAGCUGCUUAGCAGGCGGACUGCUACCACGGCCAAAUGAUCAUCUGCCUCUUUAGCCUAAGAACAAAAAAAAAAAGUGUUCUGACUCCUUGUCUGAUCUCAUUUUCAAUUAAUUUCUCUAUCUUGGCAUGUUUGUUUCAUUCUCGAUUGUUAUAUAUUUUUCUUCUUUGAAACUCUUCUCAUGAGCUGAAUACAUGAGAUGAGCAGUAAGCAGUAGAGAAGCAGCUAGCUAGUACAUGCCCCUUUCCGUCUCUGUCAUGUCCGACCAAGAGAUUAAAAUCUGAGAUCUUUUUAGCUUUGUGUGAA